rnacentral:tRNA from 1 species
CAGGUAGCUCAGUUGGUAGAGCAGUGGACUGAAAAUCCUCGUGUCGGUGGUUCGAAUCCGCCCCUGG